GACGAACGCUGGCGGCGUGCUUAACACAUGCAAGUCGAACGGAAAGGCCCUGCUUUUGUGGGGUGCUCGAGUGGCGAACGGGUGAGUAACACGUGAGUAACCUGCCCUUGACUUUGGGAUAACAUCAGGAAACUGGGGCUAAUACCGGAUAGGAGCUCCUGCUGCAUGGGGGGGGUUGGAAAGUGUCGGCGGUUGGGGAUGGACUCGCGGCUUAUCAGCUUGUUGGGGGAGUAGUGGCGGACCAAGGUUUUGACGGGUAGCCGGCCUGGGAGGGGGACCGGCCACCUGGGGACUGAGAUAGGCCGCAGUAGGCUACGUGAGGCAGCAGGGGGGAAUCUUGCACAGUGGGCGGGAGUGUGAUGCAGAAACGUCGCGUGCGUGAAACUGGCCUUCGGGUGGAAAACAGAUUUCGCCUGUGACGAAGCGGUAGUGACGGUAAUGGGUAAAGAAGCACCGGCUAACUACGUG
rnacentral:rRNA from 1 species